CACCUCCUGGUGCUUAACCACAGGCUGUAUUCUUACACUGACUAGAUAGAUAGAGGAGAUAGAGUAAACCUACCCCAUAUAUACUUCAGCCCACGCUUUGUGCCUGUUCUGUAUUAUGAAGCGUUUGGGGGCGUGCAUAG
ensembl:snoRNA